UUAGAUACCCUGGUAGUCCACGCCGUAAACGAUGUCUACUUGGAGGUUGUGCCCUUGAGGCGUGGCUUCCGGAGCUAACGCGUUAAGUAGACCGCCUGGGGAGUACGGCCGCAAGGUUAAAACUCAAAUGAAUUGACGGGGGCCCGCACAAGCGGUGGAGCAUGUGGUUUAAUUCGAUGCAACGCGAAGAACCUUACCUGGUCUUGACAUCCACAGAACUUUCCAGAGAUGGACUGGUGCCUUCGGGAACUGUGAGACAGGUGCUGCAUGGCUGUCGUCAGCUCGUGUUGUGAAAUGUUGGGUUAAGUCCCGCAACGAGCGCAACCCUUAUCCUUUGUUGCCAGCGGUUAGGCCGGGAACUCAAAGGAGACUGCCAGUGAUAAACUGGAGGAAGGUGGGGAUGACGUCAAGUCAUCAUGGCCCUUACGACCAGGGCUACACACGUGCUACAAUGGCGCAUACAAAGAGAAGCGACCUCGCGAGAGCAAGCGGACCUCAUAAAGUGCGUCGUAGUCCGGAUUGGAGUCUGCAACUCGACUCCAUGAAGUCGGAAUCGCUAGUAAUCGUGGAUCAGAAUGCCACGGUGAAUACGUUCCCGGGCCUUGUACACACCGCCCGUCACACCAUGGGAGUGGGUUGCAAAAGAAGUAGGUAGCUUAACCUUCGGGAGGGCGCUUACCACUUUGUGAUUCAUGACUGGGGUGAAGUCGUAACAAGGUAACCGUAGGGGAACCUGCGGUUGGA
rnacentral:rRNA from 1 species